GCCGGUUCGGCGCCCCGGCUACUUGCCCACGGCCGGCCAGGCGGCGGCCGUCGCUCCCAGCCUACGGCCACAUCGGCGCCUUUGCUUCUCGCCCGCGGCCAGCCAAGCGGCAUUGCUGGUGCCGCUGCUCCUCGCCCGCGGCCAACUCAUCGCCGCAGCUCCUCAAGAGCAGGACGCGCGCAGUGCCGCUGCUAUGGUUCCCCACCGGCGCAUGCUGCGAUUUGAUUGGCUGGAAGCUUCUAGCGAGAUACUGUGCGCCCGAGGGUCUUAUCCCUUCCAUGGCUUCGUCUCCUCCUUCCCCUCUUCUGCUUCUUUCUUCCCGUGUCUGUGACUGACGCUUCCUCUUCUCGCGCUGCCACUGCCGUCGCCUCCGCCCCUGCUCCCACGUUCUCCAGCUCUAGCCGUGGCUUUGCUGGGGUGGUCGCUUCUUUACUGGUGUGUCAUGACCCGGACAUGACGAGAAGAAGACGGAUCGCUGAGUUUACGCUUUCGACGUGGUUAACGUUUUGAACUUUGCUUUUUAGCUGUCGUUAGCUGUGUGGGGCCGAAGCCGAGUCUGUAAUGGCUUAUAAGCCAAGUCCUGUGAGGGAGAACGCAUAAAACAAAAAUUAAGUGAAAUCGGAAGAGGAACCAUUCCUCGUCCCUCCCCAAUCUCCCUGUAUAAUCUCACGCCUCGAUUUCGAUCGUUGGCCACAGGUGCUGCAGUGCUUACAGUGGUACCAGAUUCAUCGAUCCUCGGCGGUGGGGCUCGCGGCGUUGUUGGCGGCGGGGUGUUGUUCCGGUGGCGGUGUAGGCGGCGGUAGACUUCGCACGGGGACCUUCUGCGGCGCAUCUCUCGAUCGCCGUUGAGUUCGGGCUCGGUUUGCGGUGGAUUCAUCACGGCUCCUCCAAGGCCUUCCGUGCAGACGUAGUUCAUUCUGGAGGCAAUGACAUCUUUAGAGGAGCGCGAUUCAGCAUGUUGGGAUCAGGUGUUCGAGUCGAUCGAUUUGCUGUACGCGAAGGUGGGGGAGAUGGACACUACUCAGCAGCGUAUGUCGACUCAGAUGGAUCUGGGUAAUCAAGUGAUGGAGCAGAUACUGAAGGAUCAGCAGACCCUCGCUCAGCAAAUGGAAGCUACUAGACAAGCUAUUGCUCGGUUUUCUCAGAAUGUUCCUUCUCAACCUGAUCCCCACCAUCAUCAGCGACCAGUCGUCGAUCCACCUCCACACCGUCGGACUCCUCCUCCUGUUUCAGCUGGUGAACACUUUGUUUGGUUGGAUCUAAGCCCAGGUAAUUUUCCUUUUGGUAUAGUGCGUAACUGUUCUUUGAUUUGCCCAUGCAAACCAUUUCCUUAUUGAUUUUUAGAUUAGUGCGUACAAAUUUACCAGGCACGGUUAGAUAUUAUUAUAAUGGAGUUUGAUUCUAUUAAGAUCUAUUUCCGCUCCCGUACAUCCAUUUUUGCUAGGUUUAGUUUCUCCCGUACACCCAUUUUUGCUACAUUUAGUUUCCUUUAUGUUUCGAGCCCCUGUGUACGUCCACAUCUUAUAGCAUUGGUGCAGAUCCAUGUGCUGGUUGUUUCAAUUAAUAUAACAUGCUUCAUUUGUUUAGAUGUGCCUCUCCUUAAAUUUAAUUUUUCCCUUAAAAUGUAUAUCUGCAUUAUGAUGCUUCAUUUAGGGCAAAUCACAAGCAAGCACACGGUAAGUUACAACCACUUUUACAGCAUCUUUCUACAUCUCUUUUUACUGUCGAUUUUAUGAUGCAGUGUUCUUCUGAUUCAAAUAAAUAUAUAUACUCAUAUACAGUUACAUGUGAAAAGAGGCUGUGGGCUAUUCGAGAGAGUGGUUCAUAUGACUACAGGAGUCAUUGAUUAAGCAGGUCAGAUGGGCUUAGUAGGGCUCGCGAAACCUUUCCUUGACAAAAACAUUCUCAGCUAAUAGCAGCCGAGCUAUCUAUCCAGAUCAGGGUUGAACGAAGCGAAUGGAAAAGCCAAAGAAAACAUAAAUCCAUUGCGAUUAGAAACCUGUGUGGCUUUGUUGACCAGUGCAAAGGCCCGACAACCAUUCUGAGAGUCGAAGAGCAUUAGUGAAGCGAGAGGAGGACAAGAUGGUUGGGAAGAGGAGGAAGGGGUAUUAAGGAUAUGUACAUAUACCUACAUUUUUAUUUGUAAAUACAGAUAUAGUAUUAGUUAGAGAUACAAAUGUCUCCCCUUUCAAUAGUUAGAGGCUGAAAACUAAGGAUGACAAUUGAUCUGGCAUUGCUUUCUAACAAAAAAAAUAAUCUCUUCUCUCUCCUAUGAGUAGUACUUUGACAACUUUAUGAUUUUCCCUUAUCUUCCUAAUGAAAAUUGCUUUUUUCUCCCCAUAUGCAUUACACAACAGCUCUUUCGGGUCCUCUAAAGUUAAUAUGGUGAAGUUCUUUAGCUAAAUCUGUCCAAAUUAAAUUGCAUGAUCCAUGGUGCUCCCCACCUUCCCCCCC